rnacentral:rRNA from 1 species
GAUGAACGCUGGCGGCGUGCCUAACACAUGCAAGUCGAACGGAAGAUUAUCGCUGAUGAAGCUUCGGCAGAAUCUUGAUGAUCUUUAGUGGCGGACGGGUGAGUAACGCGUGGGCAACCUGCCUCGUACUGGGGGAUAACAGCUGGAAACGACUGUUAAUACCGCAUAAGCGCACGGUGUCGCAUGACACAGUGUGAAAAACUCCGGUGGUACGAGAUGGGCCCGCGUCAGAUUAGCCAGUUGGUGGGGUAACGGCCUACCAAAGCAACGAUCUGUAGCCGGACUGAGAGGUCGGACGGCCACAUUGGGACUGAGACACGGCCCAAACUCCUACGGGAGGCAGCAGUGGGGGAUAUUGCACAAUGGGCGAAAGCCUGAUGCAGCGACGCCGCGUGAGUGAAGAAGUAUUUCGGUAUGUAAAGCUCUAUCAGCAGGGAAAGAAAGACCCAUUAAGGGAGAUGACGG